GUUUGACCUCGGAUCAGGUAGGGAUACCCGCUGAACUUAAGC
rnacentral:rRNA from 1 species